rnacentral:rRNA from 1 species
AUUGAACGCUGGCGGCAGGCCUAACACAUGCAAGUCGAGCGGAUGAAGGGGGCUUGCUCCUGGAUUCAGCGGCGGACGGGUGAGUAAUGCCUAGGAAUCUGCCUGGUAGUGGGGGAUAACGUCCGGAAACGGGCGCUAAUACCGCAUACGUCCUGAGGGAGAAAGUGGGGGAUCUUCGGACCUCACGCUAUCAGAUGAGCCUAGGUCGGAUUAGCUAGUUGGUGGGGUAAAGGCCUACCAAGGCGACGAUCCGUAACUGGUCUGAGAGGAUGAUCAGCCACACUGGAACUGAGACACGGUCCAGACUCCUACGGGAGGCAGCAGUGGGGAAUAUUGGACAAUGGGCGAAAGCCUGAUCCAGCCAUGCCGCGUGUGUGAAGAAGGUCUUCGGAUUGUAAAGCACUUUAAGUUGGGAGGAAGGGCAGUAAGUUAAUACCUUGCUGUUUUGACGUUACCAACAGAAUAAGCACCGGCUAACUUCGUG